rnacentral:rRNA from 1 species
AGUGAACGCUGGCGGUAGGCCUAACACAUGCAAGUCGAACGGCAGCACAGGAGAGCUUGCUCUCUGGGUGGCGAGUGGCGGACGGGUGAGGAAUACAUCGGAAUCUACUCUGUCGUGGGGGAUAACGUAGGGAAACUUACGCUAAUACCGCAUACGACCUACGGGUGAAGGCAGGGGAUCUUCGGACCUUGCGUGAUUGAAUGAGCCGAUGUCGGAUUAGCUAGUUGGCGGGGUAAAGGCCCACCAAGGCGACGAUCCGUAGCUGGUCUGAGAGGAUGAUCAGCCACACUGGAACUCAGACACGUUCCAUACUCCUACGGGAGGCAGCAGUGGGGAAUAUUGGACAAUGGGCGCAAGCCUGAUCCAGCCAUACCGCGUGGGUGAAGAAGGCCUUCGGGUUGUAAAGCCCUUUUGUUGGGAAAGAAAUCCAGCUGGCUAAUACCCGGUUGGGAUGACGGUACCCAAAGAAUAAGCACCGGCUAACUUCGUGCCAGCAGCCGCAGUAA